UGCAAGUCGAGCGGAUGAGAASAGCUUGMUCUUCGAUUCAGCGGCGGACGGGUGAGUAAUGCCUAGGAAUCUGCCUGGUAGUGGGGGACAACGUUUCGAAAGGAACGCUAAUACCGCAUACGUCCUACGGGAGAAAGCAGGGGACCUUCGGGCCUUGCGCUAUCAGAUGAGCCUAGGUCGGAUUAGCUAGUUGGUGAGGUAAUGGCUCACCAAGGCGACGAUCCGUAACUGGUCUGAGAGGAUGAUCAGUCACACUGGAACUGAGACACGGUCCAGACUCCUACGGGAGGCAGCAGUGGGGAAUAUUGGACAAUGGGCGAAAGCCUGAUCCAGCCAUGCCGCGUGUGUGAAGAAGGUCUUCGGAUUGUAAAGCACUUUAAGUUGGGAGGAAGGGCAGUAAGCGAAUACCUUGCUGUUUUGACGUUACCGACAGAAUAAGCACCGGCUU
rnacentral:rRNA from 1 species